GACCACUGUAUUAUGUGAUAUAUGUAAAUACAAUCAUUGGAGAUUCUUUGAUAACGAACUUGAAUCUGGUCCUCUUGUCUGAUUUUAUUGGAGAACUUGAACUUUUUGCUGAUUUAGUUCUCUUAGAGAUUUGGAGUUUUGAUAUUAUACCUGGUAUGGAUUGGCUAUCUUCCUAUCAUACCAGUAUGGAUUGGUAUAUAACAAAUGAUCACUUUUUGCAUAUUUGAUCAGCCGAUCUUUUAUUUUGAAAGUAUUAGACAUGAUUUAUCUCCUUGUCUA
rnacentral:lncRNA from 1 species